UCGAAUAUAUUUAAAAGGUAUAGCCGCGCGGCUAUACUAUUUAAAUAUUCAAAUUUAUUCAAAGCGUAUAGCCGACCGGCUAUACUAUUUAAAUAUUCAAAU
rnacentral:miRNA from 1 species